UACUUUACCGUUUUCCUCUUAUUUGACUAACGUGCAGGUAGAUUCCACAUUGACGGUGCUACAAAAGAGGAAGAAGGUUAUCGGGUGGACCUUGGUGGAUAUUCGGGGAUAAGCCCUACCUUUUGAAAUUGUGGGUGUGAAAUCUUUUGGUGCAUUAGACUUGAAGAACAAAAAUAAUGAAGUAUUCUGAGUCAAUGGUCAUCGGGUAAAGCACUGCUUGUGAAAGGUUGGAGAUAGCCAUGUUGUGGCAGUCAUUCAUUUAACUUGAGGGUAUUAUGUGUCGUGUCACGACGUUAAAUUAGGUGCUUCUUGGGAGGCAACCCAUGUUUCUUUUCCUUUUUCUUUUGUAAGUAGGUGUUAUUUUUGUUCUAACUUGAUUUGAAGUGUGCUACAGGGGUGAGUGACUUACAAGAAUUGUGGACAAAAAUAUGGCUAAUUGUUCAAGAGCGUGCGGAUCGCACUUUAUUUGUGCGGACCGCAGAUUGGUUUCUGAGAAUAACCACUAGGUGGUAGGGUGCGGACUGCACAUGAAAAUUUGAGGCCGCACUCGUCUCUUCUCCCUUCUCAAAAUUUUGGGUAUAAAUAGAACAGUGGUCCUCAUUUUAUACUUUUUCCUCUGUGAACAAAACACUAUCAUUCUGCAGAUUUUUCUUGGAGAUUUUCACUGUCCACACACAGAGCCACCUAGAUUACUCGCUCAGUGCAUUCACUUGAUCUGACAAUGGUUCGAUCAAGAGGACGAGGCAAAGCUCCAAAAGGGAGAGGUAAAUCUUCACGAGGUCAAGGAAAAAGUGCCUUGCCACUUGGCCAGCCCAAGACAAUAAGAAAGAAAACAACAGCCGGUAGA